rnacentral:snRNA from 1 species
GUGCUCGCUUUGGCAACACAUAUACUAAAAUUGGAAUGAUGCAGAGAAGAUUAGCAUGGCCUCUGCACAAGGAUGGCACACAUAUUUNNNNAAAAAAAAAGAUAAAU